rnacentral:lncRNA from 1 species
AAGGUUGUUCCCAUGUAAAUACGAAUGCAGAUUGGGUUGGGCCUAGUCAGGGUCUUGCACUUGGAAAUGCCAGUCCUAGUUGGGUUGCCCCGAUUGGGAAUCCAGGCAUGUGGGGAAGUGAGCAAAGUCAUAAUGGAGAUAGGUUCCCCAACCAAGGGGAUUGUAGACAUUCUGGUUAUUCUGGUAAAUCUCGGAACAAG